AUUGAACGCUGGCGGCAGGCCUAACACAUGCGAGUCGAACGGUAACAGAAAGCAGCUUGCUGCUUUGCUGACGAGUGGCGGACGGGUGAGUAAUGUCUGGGAAACUGCCUGAUGGAGGGGGAUAACUACUGGAAACGGUAGCUAAUACCGCAUAACGUCGCAAGACCAAAGAGGGGGACCUUCGGGCCUCUUGCCAUCGGAUGUGCCCAGAUGGGAUUAGCUAGUAGGUGGGGUAAAGGCUCACCUAGGCGACGAUCCCUAGCUGGUCUGAGAGGAUGACCAGCCACACUGGAACUGAGACACGGUCCAGACUCCUACGGGAGGCAGCAGUGGGGAAUAUUGCACAAUGGGCGCAAGCCUGAUGCAGCCAUGCCGCGUGUGUGAAGAAGGCCUUCGGGUUGUAAAGUACUUUCAGCGGGGAGGAAGGGAGUAAAGUUAAUACCUUUGCUCAUUGACGUUACCCGCAGAAGAAGCACCGGCUAACUCCGUG
rnacentral:rRNA from 1 species